GUAGUCUCGCACAGAUGCAUAUCAAUAAGCGGAGGAAAAGAAACUAACAAGGAUUCCCUCAGUAACGGCGAGUGAAGCGGGAAGAGCUCAAAUUUGAAAUCUUGAAGGUUUUACCUUGACGAAUUGUAGUUUAAAGAAGUGUUUUCUGUUACGAUCGUAAUAUAAGUUCUUUGGAAUAGGACAUCACAGAGGGUGAGAAUCCCGUCUAUGAUUGCGAUUUGUAGCUUUGUGAUACACUUUCAAAGAGUCGGGUUGUUUGGGAAUGCAGCCCAAAACGGGAGGUAAAUUUCUUCUAAGGCUAAAUAUUGGCGAGAGACCGAUAGCGAACAAGUACCGUGAGGGAAAGAUGAAAAGAACUUUGAAAAGAGAGUUAAACAGUACGUGAAAUUGUCAAAAGGGAAGCGUUUGACACCAGUGUUGUUUUCUCGAAAAUCAAUUAAAAAGAGUUAGAUUUUGUUGUGUAUUGACCUUAACAGCUUGCAUUUCAAUUUUCUUGCCUUUUUUUUUAAUGCACUUUUCGUUUAACAAGUCAACAUCAGUUUCUUUUGUUGUAAAAAGGUCAUUGGAAGGUGGCUUUCUUUUCGGAGAAAGUGUUUAUAGCCUUUGACUCCUGCAAUCGGAGAGACUGAGGUCUGCAGCGUAGAUCCUUCGGGGUUAGAUACAUUUGUGCUAAGUUAUAGCUUUUUAUAGACAACUUGUUGACUAUGAUUAGUCUUGUAGCUUACUCGCUUAUGCUAUUUUACCUACGCUUAGGAUGUUGAAGAUGUAGCACAUCAU
rnacentral:rRNA from 1 species